CAUAAUUGUGGUUGGGCACAUGCUUGCUAUUCCAAGCAGACCCACUCUCAUGUCUGUGUGCACGAGCAAGCACACACACAUGCAGAUGAUAGUGAUUGUGGAAGACCAGAGCUUGAAACAGAGGAAAAAAAAGACAAACUGAAGAAGAGAAAGUGAUAUGAUCAGGUGUCAGGAUACCAAACCCCUGCUUGUGAAAGAAUACUAGUGUCUGUCCUUUGUCCACCCUGCUUACGGAACACAGAGUGCCCAGUCAAUGGUGAUAGAUGUGACAUCAUAUGGAAAAAAUUAAAAGAAAAGGCAAACACCUUAAGGAUGCUUCAAACUCAUACAUACCUAACAGAUAAAGGGGGAAGUAAAAACCAUGCUCUAAACUAUUUGCA